UUUGGCAUUCGGCUUGCGCGCCAUAAUGCCGUUACCCACCGCGUGCAGCAGGUGCGUUUUACCCAGACCGGUGCCGCCAUA
rfam:Bacteria symbiont BFo1 of Frankliniella occidentalis strain BFo1 contig124, whole genome shotgun sequence.